AUCCCGUACGAAUCGAGAAGCUUGCUUCUCUGAUAGUUAGCGGCGGACGGGUGAGUAACACGUAGGCAACCUGCCCUCAAGUUUGGGACAACUACCGGAAACGGUAGCUAAUACCGAAUAAUUGUUUUCUUCGCCUGAAGAGAACUGGAAAGACGGAGCAAUCUGUCACUUGGGGAUGGGCCUGCGGCGCAUUAGCUAGUUGGUGAGGUAACGGCUCACCAAGGCGACGAUGCGUAGCCGACCUGAGAGGGUGAUCGGCCACACUGGGACUGAGACACGGCCCAGACUCCUACGGGAGGCAGCAGUAGGGAAUCUUCCGCAAUGGGCGAAAGCCUGACGGAGCAAUGCCGCGUGAGUGAUGAAGGUUUUCGGAUCGUAAAGCUCUGUUGCCAGGGAAGAACGCUUGGGAGAGUAACUGCUCUCAAGGUGACGGUACCUGAGAAGAAAGCCCCGGCUAACUACGUGCCAGCAGCCGCGGUAAUACGUAGGGGGCAAGCGUUGUCCGGAAUUAUUGGGCGUAAAGCGCGCGCAGGCGGUCAUUUAAGUCUGGUGUUUAAUCCCGGGGCUCAACCCCGGAUCGCACUGGAAACUGGGUGACUUGAGUGCAGAAGAGGAGAGUGGAAUUCCACGUGUAGCGGUGAAAUGCGUAGAUAUGUGGAGGAACACCAGUGGCGAAGGCGACUCUCUGGGCUGUAACUGACGCUGAGGCGCGAAAGCGUGGGGAGCAAACAGGAUUAGAUACCCGUGGUAGUCCACGCCGUAAACGAUGAGUGCUAGGUGUUCGGUAUUUCGAUACCCCGUGGUGCCGAAGUUAACACAUUAAGCACUCCGCAGGGGGAGUACGGUCGCAAGACUGAAACUCAAAGGAAUCGACGGGGACCCGCACAUGCAGUGGAGUAUGUGGUUUAAUUAGAAGCAACGCGAAGAACCUUACCAGGUCUUGACAUCCCUAUGACCGGUACAGAGAUGUACCUUUCCUUCGGGACAGAGGAGACAGGUGGUGCAUGGUUGUCGUCAGCUCGUGUCGUGAGAUGUUGGGUUAAGUCCCGCAACGAGCGCAACCCUUAUAUUUAGUUGCCAGCACUUCGGGUGGGCACUCUAGAUAGACUGCCGGUGACAAACCGGAGGAAGGUGGGGAUGACGUCAAAUCAUCAUGCCCCUUAUGACCUGGGCUACACACGUACUACAAUGGCCGGUACAACGGGCUGCGAAAUCGCGAGAUGGAGCCAAUCCCAACAAAGCCGGUCUCAGUUCGGAUUGCAGGCUGCAACUCGCCUGCAUGAAUUCGGAAAUGCUAGGAAUCGCGGUCAGCAGCCGCCA
rnacentral:rRNA from 1 species